UACGUAGGUGGCUAGCGUUACUCGGAAUUACUAGGUGUAAAGCGCAGGUAGGUGGUCUGAUAAGUUGAGGGUGAAAGCCCUGAUAAAAUCAGGGACGUCUUUCAAUACUGUCAGGCUUGAGUGUGGUAGGGGGAACCAGAAUUCCCGGUGUAGCGGUGAAAUGCGUAGAUAUCGGGAGGAAUACCGAUGGCGAAAGCGGGUUCCUGGACCAUUACUGACACUGAGCUGCGAAAGCGUGGGGAGCA
rnacentral:rRNA from 1 species